AUACACCUUAGGCAGUGCUAAGCACGCUUUCGGACCAGUCAAAUUAUUUAUUUGAAUUUUAACGUUUAUCUGUAAAUUUAAUUUUAUCUUUAUUAUAAAAUUAAUUAGAUAAUUAAUCACAAUCAGAUUUUCUGUGCGAUUUUUCCUAACAAAAACUAUAUAUAGAACUUACCUGAUUUAUGGAUUAUUUUAAUAUGCUACCAAUCUUUGCAAAAUUUUGAUUUUACUAUUCGGCCUUUCAAUUUUUUUGAUAUAAGUCAACCAACGGUACUUUGACUUGAAAUUUGAUUGUAUCAUUCAUUUUUACAGAUUUAAUUAGUAUAUUUUGUAUAAUUCUACCAGUUAUAUACAAACUUUUAAAAAGUUGAAUGCAUUGUUUAUUUUUCACAUUUUUAUUUAGUAUAGUUUAUGUAAUUUUGAUAGUUACGUAUAUAUAUUUAUUAAAAUAAGUAACUAGUUUAAAUUUUGAAGUCAAAAUUCCAUAAACUAACCCAAAUCAAACCGUACGAAAGAUUGAAUAUUAAAAUCAAAAUUUUAUAAGAUUAGUUAGUCGAAUAAAAAAAAAUGGUUAAAUACAUAUAGGUCCCUAAAAAUAUAGUACAUUGCAAAUAUAUUCCUACAAUAUUUAAUUUUUAUAUGUCGUUCCUACAAAAAUUCUAAUGUUUUCAAAUAUGUACCUCUAAUUUGUUGUUACCGUUAGAAAACUGCUGAAGCCUAAAGAAUUGUUUGUGUUUUUAAUUUUGCCAUCACAAAUAUAUCCCUCCAAAAGCUACAACAGUAUAAUAUAAGAGGGAUAAAAAUAUCAAGUUAUCUCAUAAACUAACCGUAGUUAAAUAUUAACCUAUGGUUAACUAAAAUUUUCUAACAGAUUCUACCGACAGGGACAUAUGUGAAAAUAUUAAGACUUUUACAAGUACAACAUAUACAAAUUGAACUUUGUUGGAACAUAUUUACAAUGCACUAUGUUUGUAGAGUAUCUAUAUAUAGUUAAUCCUAAAAAACAGUCUAUAGUUGAAAUAAGUUAUAUACAUACAUACAUACAUACAUAUAUAUAUAUAUAUAUAUAUAUAUAGAGUCGGGCUAGAAUACUAUUGAUUGCAAAAGAUCCUUUUUACUAUCAAAAUUUUAGUCAUUAGAUUAAUUCUUUUUAUCAUUUCUAACCAUUGGAUUAAAUAUUAUAAUUCAGUGGAAAACACUUAACCUUAGGAGACCACUCAACCCUAAAAAAACUAAUAUUAUCCUAACCUUACAAUUUAUCAUCCAAUGGUUAAAAAUUUGAUAACAAAAAAGACUUUUUGCUAUCAAUAGUAUUCCAGCCCAAUUCUUAUAUAUAUAUAUAUAUAUAUAUAUAUAUAUAGAACUAGGCUACUAUGCUAUUAAUAGCACAAAGUUAUUGGUGCUACCAAGUUUUUGGCUAUUGGAUUAAGAGAUGUGUGGUUAGGAUGACGUGGGCCCCCUAGGGUUGAGUGGGUGGUUGGUUGAAUAGUAUGAUCUAACGGGUGAAAAUGAUCAAAAGGGUAGAUCUAACGGUAGAAAACUUAGUAGCACCAAAUGCUUUGUGCUAUUAAUAGCAUAGUAGCCG
rnacentral:lncRNA from 1 species